CAUUAACAAUGGACGAACACGGAUAUUUGCAUAGAAAGACCACCAAGUUGGACUGUUAUUACGGUGACUGUCAACUGUAAAACUAUCAGGUCCAGGGGAAUAUGGACUGGGAGUGAUGGCACCACGAAGAAAAC